UACGGGGGGAGCAAGCGUUGUUCGGAUUUACUGGGCGUAAAGGGCGCGUAGGCGGUCAGUGCAAGUCAGUUGUGAAAUCUCCGGGCUUAACUCGGAAAGGUCAACUGAUACUGCUCGACUAGAGUGCGGAAGGGGCAACUGGAAUUCUUGGUGUAGCGGUGAAAUGCGUAGAUAUCGAGAGGAACACCUGCGGCGAAGGCGGGUAGCUGGGCCGACACUGACGCUGAGGCGCGAAAGCGUGGGGAGCGAACAGG
rnacentral:rRNA from 1 species